GACGAACGCUGGCGGCGUGCCUAAUACAUGCAAGUCGAACGCUUCUUUUUCCACCGGAGCUUGCUCCACCGGAAAAAGAGGAGUGGCGAACGGGUGAGUAACACGUGGGUAACCUGCCCAUCAGAAGGGGAUAACACUUGGAAACAGGUGCUAAUACCGUAUAACAAUCGAAACCGCAUGGUUUUGAUUUGAAAGGCGCUUUCGGGUGUCGCUGAUGGAUGGACCCGCGGUGCAUUAGCUAGUUGGUGAGGUAACGGCUCACCAAGGCCACGAUGCAUAGCCGACCUGAGAGGGUGAUCGGCCACAUUGGGACUGAGACACGGCCCAAACUCCUACGGGAGGCAGCAGUAGGGAAUCCUCGGCAAUGGACGAAAGUCUGACCGAGCAACGCCGCGUGAGUGAAGAAGGUUUUCGGAUCGUAAAACUCUGUUGUUAGAGAAGAACAAGGAUGAGAGUAACUGUUCAUCCCUUGACGGUAUCUAACCAGAAAGCCACGGCUAACUACGUGCCAGCAGCCGCGGUAAUACGUAGGUGGCAAGCGUUGUCCGGAUUUAUUGGGCGUAAAGCGAGCGCAGGCGGUUUCUUAAGUCUGAUGUGAAAGCCCCCGGCUCAACCGGGGAGGGUCAUUGGAAACUGGGAGACUUGAGUGCAGAAGAGGAGAGUGGAAUUCCAUGUGUAGCGGUGAAAUGCGUAGAUAUAUGGAGGAACACCAGUGGCGAAGGCGGCUCUCUGGUCUGUAACUGACGCUGAGGCUCGAAAGCGUGGGGAGCAAACAGG
rnacentral:rRNA from 1 species